rnacentral:lncRNA from 1 species
GGAAAAUCAGGGAAGAGGCGACAAGAAAGAGCAAUGGAGGAUGGAGAAGCAUAUGUCAACAACAACAUCUGGGAAAGUUACCUCUCAAAACAGUUCAUCACCCAUUAGGCAUUGGCCUUGAGGGCGGGGUUAUUCAGAACUGUGAACAUAGAUAUUUCCAGGAUGGAUUGACUCCCUCUCUUCCCAGGAGCUCCCUGACUUCUACCUCUUUGAGCAUUUGCUCUCAAACCCAAAAUUCCACUUGCAUCUUAGCUCAAUGAACAGCUUAGAUAAAUUACCAAAAACGCUGGAUUAUGAGCCUCGUUCCCAUACACGGAUUGGUUUACUGAACAGAAUAUCUUCAAAUCAACUAGACCAAGCCUGUCAACACUGAGAAAAAGGGGAAGACGUAACUUAAGAAACAUAUGGGUUCCUUCUGAAGCCAACCAGUGUCAAAGAGAUCAGUGGUGCUUGUUACUGCCUUCACUAUUGUGAUAAACAUUAUCACACUAAAAUGUGUAAUAAUAAUGUAAUGAGGGCAAGGCCUUUGGUUUGCUUUGUUUACUGUUGUGCCUUUAGUAACCAACAAAAACAAAAGACACAGACAUAUAAGGAUUCAUCACACAUUCAGGAAUGACAGAGAGCUUGUGCUAUUAAAU